UACGGAGGGGGCAAGCGUUAUUCGGAAUUAUUGGGCGUAAAGGGCGCGUAGGCGGCUAGAUGUGUCAAAGGUGAAAUCCCUCGGCUCAACUGAGGAACUGCCUUUGAAACUGUCUGGCUUGAGGCCGGGAGAGGGUAGCGGAAUUCCCGGUGUAGUGGUGAAAUGCGUAGAUAUCGGGAGGAACACCAGUGGCGAAGGCGACUACCUGGCCUGUUCUUGACGCUGAGGCGCGAAAGCUAGGGGAGCAAACGGG
rnacentral:rRNA from 1 species